rnacentral:rRNA from 1 species
AGCAGCCGCGGUAAUUCCAGCUCCAAUAGCGUAUAUUAAAGUUGUUGCAGUUAAAAGCUCGUAGUUGAAUUUCGGGAUCAAUGCGUCGGUCGUGCCUUCGGUACGUACUAGCGUCAUUGAUUCCUCCCUUCUGAAGAACCGUGAUGUCAUUAAUUUGGUGUUACGGGGAAUCAGGACUGUUACCUUGAAAAAUUAGAGUGUUUAAAGCAGGCUAACGCUUGAAUACAUUAGCAUGGAAUAAUGAAAUAGGACGUUCGAACCUAUUUUGUUGGUUUCUAGGAUCGACGUAAUGAUUAAUAGGGAUAGUUGGGGGCAUUAGUAUUCAAUUGUCAGGGGUGAAAUUCUUGGAUUUAUUGAAGACUAACUACCGCGAAAGCAUUUGCCAAGGAUGUUUUCAUUAAUCAAGAACGAAAGUUAGGGGAUCGAAGACGAUCAGAUACCGUCGUAGUCUUAACCAUAAACUAUGCCGACUAGGGAUCGGAUGAUGUAAUUUUUUAAUGACUCA